rnacentral:rRNA from 1 species
UACGAAGGAUGCAAGCGUUAUCCGGAAUGAUUGGGCGUAAAGCGUCCGCAGGUGGCAGUUCAAGUCUGCUGUCAAAGACCGGGGCUUAACUUCGGAAAGGCAGUGGAAACUGAACAGCUAGAGUAUGGUAGGGGCAGAGGGAAUUCCUGGUGUAGCGGUGAAAUGCGUAGAGAUCAGGAAGAACAUCGGUGGCGAAGGCGCUCUGCUGGACCAUAACUGACACUCAGGGACGAAAGCUAGGGGAGCGAAUGGG